AUCCGCCGGGGGGCCUGGCCCACGCCCCGCCCGUUUCUCGGAGCCGCAUCUCCCGGACGGGUAAACUGAGGCCCGGCGAGGGCUCGGUGCUCGAGUUCGAGUCCUUCCGCCGCUGGUCACCCGGUCCGAGGUGGCGCGGGCACCCGUGGGCGACACGGUGGAGCCAAGAGCCGUCAGGUCUCGGCCCAAAGCCCCGCUGGCGCCCUGUCUCGGCCCAAAGCCCCGCUGACGCAGGGCGCCGCCUCCGGCGCAGAGCAGGCGCCCGGGACUCGAGUCCCCGCCCAGCUGCUGACCAGCUGCGUGAUGGAUGACCUUGAGCGAGUGACCUCGCUCCUCUCCCCGAGGGUUCUCAUCUCUCAUCCAAGAGGCUAGUGUGAGGUUCAUGCUUGUAAAGCCCACGGGACAGUGCAGGGACCUCGCAUAGAAAGAGAAAGGCAUUCCUGGUAGAAAAGCUGCAAAUAGUUCUCUGCGAUGGAACAUACCAGGGGGAGGUAGUAAAGAUUCUACCGGAACUUCCUGGCAAACUUAUGUGGAAGUCUCUGGGAGGCCACAUGGUGGAAUUCUGCCUGAUUCCAGGGUCAAUGCACCCAUGAGCUCUCUACAUCAUCUCAGAGACAGGGGAAAGAAGCCGGAAGAUGACUGUGUUCAGGCGCCCUCAGCUGGCACGUGGUGAACAUUCAAGAACAGAGACUGAACUGCAUAUUUUUGUGGGCCUAAACUCUGCCCUCUGUGCCUGAGGCAUCAUGUGAUAUGGUAAUGUGGAUAUAGAGCUGCGGUACUCAAGCUCAGGAACCAAGAAAUCACCUGAGGAGACCUGUUGAAAUGCAGAUUCCAGAGCCCUCCCUCCAGAGCGCCUGAUCCAGUGGUGUCCAGAAAUUAUUUUCAUCAAGACCUUCAGAUUAUUCUGACACAGGAAAAUGACAAGGCAUAUGGAUAUUAGUGAUAAAACCACAGCCAAGCCAGGUCGAGUUUUGGUUUUCUUGCACUCUGGUGGGAGCUGUUCCAAAAGAGAUUCCCACUAAUGUUUACAGUCCUUUUCUUUAUGGAAAGGAGGAAGCUGGUGGUGUGCUGGUAAGUGUUUUCACUGGCUCUCUUCAGCAGGAGUAAAAAACAAACAAAAACCCUGUUUUUAUAGCAUUUGCCAAUAUCCAUGGUGUAAAUACUCAUACCACGGAUGAUACCAAGCUACCAAAGGGAUGUCACUGAAAACUGAGUUGGGAGGAGACACGUGGCAUCAUCCCUAUGGCAACCGCUUGAGGAAGCCCAGGUAUCGCUCCACGAAGAGACGACCUUGGAACAGGGGAGGAAAAGGCAGAAAAAUGCGCUAGAACCUGGAGGGCCGAGCUCCGGUUUGGAUUCUGCCACGUUGUUGCUGUUUGACCUUCUCAGUUCCUUCAUCUUUGAAAUUCCCGACCUGCCCUUCUCAAGAUGAGGAAGCGGCAGACUGGAGAGGAGGGGGCUUGCUCGGUCACCCUGGGACUCGGGGGCAGAACUGCUGCCCAGCUGGUCCCUCUGCUGAUUAAAUACAGAGCACUCGAUGAAAGCAUGAAGUGCCACCCCCUUGGGUGGCCUCCUUGCCUCUCAGCAUUUCUCCCUGGGCUGGCCCUCCUUCCUCUGCUUCUGUGGAUAUUCUCAGGAAAGGCUGGGAGAGCAGUCAUUAACUCCUCACAUGGGCCUCUGGGCAGUGGGAGAGCACAGACGAAGGGCCAGGGGACUCGGGUGUCCCAGCAGCUUUGUCGUUACCUUGGGGACAUGUGGGCACAUGGCUGUUUCCUUCCUGCCUUCCGUGUCCUUCUCCGUAAAGCACAGUGGGGAAGAAGGAGAGGGUUGGGCUGGGUGUCACCAAGGUCAGUUCGUAGCUAGGACCUUCUGAGUUGCACAUGCAGCUUCAA